rnacentral:rRNA from 1 species
CGGGGGGGUGCUUACACAUGCAGUCGAACGAUGAACCACUUCGGUGGGGAUUAGUGGCGAACGGGUGAGUAACACGUGGGCAAUCUGCCCUUCACUCUGGGACAAGCCCUGGAAACGGGGUCUAAUACCGGAUAACACUGCGGAUCGCAUGGUCUGCGGUUAAAAGCUCCGGCGGUGAAGGAUGAGCCCGCGGCCUAUCAGCUUGUUGGUGAGGUAAUGGCUCACCAAGGCGACGACGGGUAGCCGGCCUGAGAGGGCGACCGGCCACACUGGGACUGAGACACGGCCCAGACUCCUACGGGAGGCAGCAGUGGGGAAUAUUGCACAAUGGGCGAAAGCCUGAUGCAGCGACGCCGCGUGAGGGAUGACGGCCUUCGGGUUGUAAACCUCUUUCAGCAGGGAAGAAGCGAAAGUGACGGUACCUGCAGAAGAAGCGCCGGCUAACUACGUGCCAGCAGCCGCGGUAAUACGUAGGGCGCAAGCGUUGUCCGGAAUUAUUGGGCGUAAAGAGCUCGUAGGCGGCUUGUCACGUCGAUUGUGAAAGCCCGAGGCUUAACCUCGGGUCCUGCAGUCGAUACGGGCUAGCUAGAGUUCGGUAGGGGAGAUCGGAAUUCCUGGUGUAGCGGUGAAAUGCGCAGAUAUCAGGAGGAACACCGGUGGCGAAGGCGGAUCUCUGGGCCGAUACUGACGCUGAGGAGCGAAAGCGUGGGGAGCGAACAGGAUUAGAUACCCUGGUAGUCCACGCCGUAAACGGUGGGCACUAGGUGUGGGCAACAUUCCACGUUGUCCGUGCCGCAGCUAACGCAUUAAGUGCCCCGCCUGGGGAGUACGGCCGCAAGGCUAAAACUCAAAGGGAAUUGACGGGGGCCCGCACAAGCGGCGGAGCAUGUGGCUUAAUUCGACGCAACGCGAAGAACCUUACCAAGGCUUGACAUACACCGGAAAGCACCAGAGAUGGUGCCCCCCUUGUGGUCGGUGUACAGGUGGUGCAUGGCUGUCGUCAGCUCGUGUCGUGAGAUGUUGGGUUAAGUCCCGCAACGAGCGCAACCCUUGUCCCGUGUUGCCAGCAGGCCCUUGUGGUGCUGGGGACUCACGGGAGACCGCCGGGGUCAACUCGGAGGAAGGUGGGGACGACGUCAAGUCAUCAUGCCCCUUAUGUCUUGGGCUGCACACGUGCUACAAUGGCCGGUACAAUGAGCUGCGAUACCGUGAGGUGGAGCGAAUCUCAAAAAGCCGGUCUCAGUUCGGAUUGGGGUCUGCAACUCGACCCCAUGAAGUCGGAGUCGCUAGUAAUCGCAGAUCAGCAUUGCUGCGGUGAAUACGUUCCCGGGCCUUGUACACACCGCCCGUCACGUCACGAAAGUCGGUAACACCCGAAGCCGGUGGCCCAACCCCUUGUGGGAGGGAGCUUCGAAGUGACGGG